GCCAGUGUGGCAUAGUGGUUUGAGCAUUGGACUACAACUCUGGAAACCAGGGUUCAAUUCCUGCUCAGCCA
rnacentral:tRNA from 1 species